rnacentral:lncRNA from 1 species
AAAAUAAUCACUGUUCCCUGAAGAGUCUUUGCAGCCAAGUCUCCGUCCAGCACACAUCUUUUUUUAGCCCUUCUAGAAACUUCUGAAAAUAGUAGCUUAUCCUUGGGGGGAAAAAAAUCAGACCUCUGUCAAUCAGUGAGAUGCUGGUGCAUUUCAUUUAAAUGGCCCACUCCCUCCCCCAACGUCCCCUGGUUAUAAAUCAUCUUUGACCAGAAUGUAGCCAUUUCUUGGCUCUUUAAUCCAUAAAACCUAAACCCUGAAAUCCCCUUGGGGAGUGGAGGAGGCUGUGGGCUGAACUCCGAGGACACUUUUGUGGGGGUGGAGGAGAUAGCAACCAAGUCAUGCAUGAGGUCAGCUUUCUGCCUCAUAACCAGCAAGCCUCUCAAUGCCACCCUCCCUCCUAGACCCCAAGGUUUGCUCCAAACCACCUCUGGAUAUUUGUCCCCACGUAGAGAAAGAGAAGAGACUCUCAAGUGGCACUUUUGCAACUUGUCCCUUAAAAAAAAAAAAAAAAUCUGAAACAGCAAAAUAGAAAUCUCUCUUGUCCCCUGGCCUUCCAACAAGUCUGUCAAAAGAAUACCACAGCAGCACCAGCAGAAACGCACUUAGCACCAGCAAAAUUUUAAGUGAAGCACCAGAGACACAAAAAUCCCGUUUCUCUUGACGUGACAGUGGGAUCUAGCAAUCGACCUAGGUAAGUACAGAGGGAGAGGCUAGGACAAGUCAAGAAAUGGAGGCACCCCAGACUGCGCCUACACAAUUGGCCCCGAGUCCUCACCUUUUUUUUUUUUUUUUUCCUAUCAUGCCUUUUGCACUGUUACCUCUUAUUCCACCAGCAUCUAUCUCCAGGCAGUUGGCCGAUGCUAGGGCUAAUUCCCACCAGUCUUUGCAAACAGUUUCUAAGUACACAGCAGGCCUCUCUCUUCUGGCGCCCCAGACAUUACAGAAUAUCAAAGUUCACAUCGCAAGGUGCAGAAAAGGAAGGCAACCACGUCCUCGACAAGGCAUGCACUGAUACGUAAUAUUCAUAUUUUUGUUAUAUAUAGAGAGCUGUAUGUAAAUAGCAUUGGGGUGUGUGUUUCUGCAGCUGGAUUUCCAAAGGGCUUCCCCAGUCCCAUUCUGUGUUUCUACGAUCGCUCCAGGCGCUGUCUUUACUCUCCACUUCCUUCUCGAAGUGCCAACCGCGGCCUUUCAAGCUCUGGGCUCCCCCUCUGGAAAACGGGAACCAGCUUUCUCCAAGGACACAGGGUUUUCACCAACCUGCAGAAAUAAAGAUUGGUAU